GAUGAACGCUGGCGGCGUGCCUAAUACAUGCAAGUCGAGCGAACGGACGAGAAGCUUGCUUCUCUGAUGUUGGCGGCGGACGGGUGAGUAACACGUGGAUAACCUACCUAUAAGACUGGGAUAACUUCGGGAAACCGGAGCUAAUACCGGAUAAUAUUUUGAACCGCAUGGUUCAAAAGUGAAAGACGGUCUUGCUGUCACUUAUAGAUGGAUCCGCGCUGCAUUAGCUAGUUGGUAAGGUAACGGCUUACCAAGGCAACGAUGCAUAGCCGACCUGAGAGGGUGAUCGGCCACACUGGAACUGAGACACGGUCCAGACUCCUACGGGAGGCAGCAGUAGGGAAUCUUCCGCAAUGGGCGAGAGCCUGACGGAGCAACGCCGCGUGAGUGAUGAAGGUCUUCGGAUCGUAAAACUCUGUUAUUAGGGAAGAACAUAUGUGUAAGUAACUGUGCACAUCUUGACGGUACCUAAUCAGAAAGCCACGGCUAACUACGUG
rnacentral:rRNA from 1 species